AGAGAGACCAGCUACAGACUGAGAGAGAUUUUCUUAGUGGGAGGCUUACCCAUCUCAAACAAACAUGUCCCAAAGGCUGGCAGAAUUUUGAAUCCAGUUGGUACUUCCUGUCUGAUGAUACUAAAACCUGGAAGGAGAGCAGAGAGGACUGUCUGGAGAGAGGAGCAGACCUGGUGAUCAUAAACAGUGAUAAGGAACAGGAGUUUCUCUUCAACCUCAACAAGGAGUCUGGAUUGGUCUGACUGACUCUGUUACUGAGGGGAACUUGAUAUGGGUGGACGGUACCCCACUGACCACCCCAAGGUACUGGCAUAAACCACAGCCUGAUAAUGGUGCUGGCAGACUAGACUAUGGUGAGGAGGACUGUGUUGAGAUACGUAAAGAUCAGCGUCCUCUGGAGGCAUGGAAUGACUUGUCAUGUGACAGGAAAAUCUACUGGGUUUGUGAGAAAGCUGUUUAACAUCACUAUGACAACAUACUGUAACACAUACAGCAGCACACAGUGCACGAAACUUCCUCCUUCAUUCUCUCGCUGUCUCUGUUUGUCU